rnacentral:misc_RNA from 1 species
AAGCCCCCACACUAAAAAAACAGUAAUAUGGAAUAAAAAAAAGCUUUCAAAACUUAGCAGUUAUUAGACAAGGUAUUGUUUGGCCCUAGCUAGCGAUCGUUUAGCUCUCUUCACUCUCUCACUUUUUUAGUUCAACCCUUCUUUUGCGUGAGAUGCCAUCAUGGCAUGGUAUGGUUCUUUUGCCUUACGUAAAACACACUCACGCCAGCACACACACACACACACAUAACAUAUACGGAUGUGCGUGUGAGCUAGUCUUCCAUUAAUGCAAUCUUUGGGCCUAUAUAUACAAACCUUUCCAUAACCAAAGUUCUCAUACUACAAACGCCCCUCAUGUGCUUGGAAAUGCGGGUG